GACGAACGCUGGCGGCGUGCUUAACACAUGCAAGUCGAACGGAAAGGCCCUGCUUUUGUGGGGUGCUCGAGUGGCGAACGGGUGAGUAACACGUGAGUAACCUGCCCUUGACUUUGGGAUAACUUCAGGAAACUAGGGCUAAUACCGGAUAGGAGCUCCUGCUGCAUGGUGGGGGUUGGAAAGUUUCGGCGGUUGGGGAUGGACUCGCGGCUUAUCAGCUUGUUGGUGGGGUAGUGGCUUACCAAGGCUUUGACGGGUAGCCGGCCUGAGAGGGUGACCGGCCACAUUGGGACUGAGGUACGGCCCAGAAUCCUACGGGAGGCAGCAGUGGGGAAUAUUGCACAAUGGGCGGAAGCCUGAUGCAGCAACGCCGCGUGCGGGAUGACGGCCUUCGGGUUGUAAACCGCUUUCGCCUGUGACGAAGCGUGAGUGACGGUAAUGGGUAAAGAAGCACCGGCUAACUACGUG
rnacentral:rRNA from 1 species